rnacentral:lncRNA from 1 species
GUAGAAAGCAGCGCCUCCUGCUUGGAUGGAUGGCUUUGACUGGACUUUCUCGUGGGGGCGGGAGGGGGGAGGAAGGGAUGGAUGGGAGUGGUUAGGAACAGUAAAGUUGUGUGUGUGUGUGUGUGUGUGUGUGCGCGCGCGCGCGCGUGUGUGUGUGUGUGUGUGUGGUGUGUGUGUGUGUGUGAUAGAGAGAGAGAGAGAGAGAGAGAGAGAGAGAGAGAGAGAGAGACAGACAGACAGACAGAGACAGAGAGAGACAGACAGACAGACACGGGGGGGAGGGGGAGGGCUCUUUUUGGCUCCCUUUGCAUCUUGGUUUCUUCUAAGCUUCUGAGUAUCUCAAACUAGCCGAGAUCACUGGCCAUCUAGACUCCUUGCAGAGUCUGAGGAAAUUUGGCCUCGUUUUUCUGGGGCUGGGGAAUGAGCUCCGGAGGUCAAUAAAGCCCUCCAAAAAUGAUGAAUGAUUGAGCACCUGUGAUGAUAAUAGUGAUUACCAGAGCAAUUAAACAGUUUGAUUAAAUGAGCCAUCAUAACAAUGAUGUCUGCGGGAAAUCGGCCCUCACAUAUAAAGACAGUGUGGAGGGGCUGGCAGAGGCGCUGAGAGCGCGCCGGGAGAAGGGAUGCGGCCCGCGCGGAUUUGGCUCCAUGAGCCAAAGCAGGGGCGGCGGGCUCAGGGAGUUUCUGGGGGCAGUCUAGCCUAGGGUUUCGGUCUCUCUUUCUGCCUGGCUUCAAGCCUAAGACAACCAACUCGUCUGGAACCCGAGGGGCCAUAGGGUCCUUUCCUCCUCCUCUCCUCUUCCCCUCCUUUUUUUCCUCCCUAGAAGAACUCCAAGAUUACAAAUACCCACUUCAUUUGAUGCUGAGUUACUCGUCGACACAUAAGAAAAGAGAGCAAAGCUAUGCAGUAACUCCCUUCGCCAUAAGACACAUUCCAAGAUGCCCGGUGGAUGCCAUGCUCUGAAGCCAUGGAAAGUACUGAACUCUGUUUGGUUCAAAGCAAUAGACCUGUCCAAUUUGGGAAUAAAACUGUCAAAACUAUGUGCUACAAGUGUGCCAUCACGCUUAUAAAUUGUCUCAGGUAAUUUGUUGCAGUAAUGGAAAGCUAACACAGGUUAAACAUGAGAGCUGGAGAGAUGACUCAGUGGGGGAAGCACUUGAUUUGAAAGCACCAAGACCUGAGUUCAGACUCCCAGAACCCAGAUAAAGCUUGACACACUAUCACAUCUAUAAUCCCAGUGUUCCUAUGGCAAGAAGACAGGUGGGAAUGGGGCAAUUCCCAGCAACUCUUUGGCCAACUAGCCUCCUGUGACAGUGCUAGAGACCCUUUCUCAAAAAAGCUGCAAGGUUUUGCAAGAAGAAGCUGCUUGUUCUUUAGGCAGGUGGCUCCCUGUGCUGCAGUUGAGGAGCUUCAAUCAUCACUGACAAGCCCACAAUCCACAAAGUCCUGGGUGUCUCCUCCAGCUAUCGCUGUCUGAAGCUUUUCAAAGGUUUUUGUAGUCCUCUUAGGUCGCUUUUCAUGCAUUCCACAAUGUAAAUGGAAAAGUUCAUCCACACUGACAUGAAGAGCUCCAUUUUGCUGGAACUUUUUGCUUUUUCACCAGAAAUAAUCCUUUCUUUCUUUUGUGUAAGGCUCAGGCUCAUCUACAAAUUCUUGGACUCUUUCUUAGAGAUGCAUAGCCCAGCAAAAUUGAAGCCUCUCCCCCUGAAAUAGACAUCAACCAACAAGUGUGUGCUGCUUUUAAAACCAAGGACAGGUUGUUGGAAAGAAUGAACUUUCUAAGUGGCAAUGUAGAAACAGUAAGCUGGGACCAAGAAGAGUCACUCAUCAACCACUCCUGUUGUUUUUAGGUAGACUUACUAUGCUUUAAAAAUUGUAUUAUUUCAAUAAAACAAUCUACAAAUAAAUACAAAACAAAAGGGCACGUGUAGGGACACAUUGAAAGGAAGCAUGCAUACCAAAAAGCUAAGUGCAAAUUGGAUUUGAAUAUUCAUGAGUCACAAAUCAUUGACAGUUUGAAACAAUGCAAAACAGCUUUAUAAAUGAGGUUAAGGCAAGGGACACCAAAGGAAUGCAUCAUUAAAUCAAUAGAAGUUUGUGUAUGUACUUGUAAAUUGUGGUUACAGUGUUUGUGACAUGGGAGAAAAAAUACUGUGGAUCUGAUGAAGAGGGUUGACACAUAAAUAUUCCCUCUGCAUGUUAUAUUUUUGCAGUUCAUCAUGUGCUUGGAACUGAGCCAGGUAGAGAGUGGUUGGACAUUGUACUUCCUGCUCAAGAAAGAGUUUCCUUGUGCAGACAGUGAGUUUCAGACCUCUGCCUGGACAGUCUUUAUUUGCCCUGCUAAAAAGUAUUAAACAUACAACCAUUCACACAGUUGAUUCCUAAAGCAGAGGUUAGCACGUAGCAUACAUAACUUUGGAGAAUGACAGCCUUAAAUCAGUUCGUGGGAGCUCCCACCAGAGAGCACGGGAUCUUAGAGAAUGCUCUAAUGCUUAGAAGGGCACAGAGGGGAAAAAUAGCUUUGUGAAGAGUUUGUAAGAAUCUCUUGAUAACAAAGCAAGAACAUUCGCUAACAAUGAGAAAUCAUACAGUGAAAUAAUUGAAGUUGCAAAAUGUUGGCAACCCAGCAGUUCUAUUGGAAGUGUUUUUGUUUUGUUCAGCAGUGACUCUUCACUUGUAGGACCCCGACUGUGGCUGUAGGGAACACGUAGCCUGUGGUUGGAGUCAUAUUUGAGACAGUAGGACUUACAAACCUAAGCCAUCUUAGGGCUUGUGUUAACAUAGGGACACUUCUAAGUUAAGCAGCUUCUCUUAGAAGCUUACUUUGGGUGAUCUGUAAGUUAUGAAGCAUUUCUCUAAGAUGCUGCUCAGCAAAUCUCUUUCUCAUAUCCCAUCUCCGGUUCUUGGAUGAUGGCUGAAGUGGGUGCCACAGCAUGAAAAUCAGGGUGCACAUGGUACCAAUUUGGAAGAAGCUGAAGAAUGUGGUCGGUUUAGAAAAUUCUUCUAUAUCUUUUUGCUGGGCCAUCCUUUAAGGCAGACAUUCAAAUUCAGGAUCUACAAUUCAGCUGAGACAUGACUCAUGAGAAAGAGAUGUCAGCAUUUCUCCAGUUCACUGCCAUGUAGACAAAGAAGCUAACGUGACCCAUGUGUUAACCAUAAUCAAGGACAGCCAUAAGAAAACAAUACAAACAAUAACUUAAUUUUUAAUGAAUGAUUUUUUUUUUUUGUGACCGGGCAAGGUUUCAUAUAUACCUACACUGGACUCAAAUGAAUUUUCUUGUGGCUAAGGAGGUGAUUCAGUGGGUAACAGUGCUUGUAUGUAACCAUGAG